rnacentral:misc_RNA from 1 species
AUGAUUUUAAAGCAAAACUUAAGCUUUUUUUUAAAAGUAAGGUUUUGCGAAAUAUAUUUAAAACCCCACUCUUUUAAAAAAAAUUUUUCAUACAUGUGAUUAUGAAUAAAAAAAGA